UACUAUAAGAACUUAUAUCCUUGAAAAUGUUACUUUCAUAAAUAUAAAUAUUCCCAAAUUAUAAAAUAAGAUGUGGGAAAUAAGAAACUCUGGGGUGAUUUAAAGUUUCUACCACUUCCUAAAGAUAUUGUUUAAUAGAAUAAUCCAUGCUAAAUGGUUAAAUUAUGAAACAGAAAUAUAUAAACUGCCUUUCAUAACAAGUUAAUCAAAUUGAGGAACAUUUAGUGUAAAAGUGCCUUAAAAGUUUUCUUUUUGCGCAGCACAAUUUCUCAAACAAAAUCUAACCCUAUAGCAUAAGAUAAAUAUAAAUAAUAAUGAGAUUCUCCAGGCAGUUUAUAGUUCUUCAAAACACAGAAGUCCAAUCACAAGUAAUAAUAAAUAUCAGAUUAUUCAAAGUCCCACAGAAUUAAGGAAGACUUGUGCUCAUCAAUAUGCUAAUCUAAGUGUAUUACUCAUGAAAUUUUUGCAUGAAUUCAAUGUAUUAAUAAUCAAGAAAUAGACCCAAAUAGAAAUUAUAAAUGUUGCAUUUAAUUUUAGUAUAUUAAAGACAAGAAACCCCCCAGCAACUAACUUGUCACUUUGCACAGUAAUUUUAACAUAAAAGGUUUAAACUUAUUUAUUUGGCCAACAUUUUCUUCACUGCAUAUAGUCUAAAAAAAAAAAAAAAAAAAAAGACAUCAGAAAUCCGUGGGAUAUAUUUCAUAAACAAGGGAAUAACAUAAAUUAUUAAAUUUCUGGUAGAGGAGUUAAUUCUGCAUUAAAUGAGCUUAAGCUAUUGGUAAUACAACAGAAAUUGUAAGAAAUUCCUUGAUAAGAGGUAAGAAAAUAGAAUUUUUCAGCUGGAAAUGUACUGAUAAUGGUCUCAUUUCUUCUCCCAGAUAUGCAAGCAGUAUGUCUAAAUACUUACUAGAGCCAAAUCUAUCUCAAAACUUUAGGACAUUAAUUUUUCUCCUUUUUGUUAAUACUCAACGAGAAACAACACUUAGAAUACAACUUUUUCCAUGAAUAAGGGAUAGUAAUAUCC
rnacentral:lncRNA from 1 species